rnacentral:tRNA from 1 species
AGGGGACUAGUCUAAAACAAGACCUCUGAUUUCGGCUUAGAGAAUCGCGGUUAAAGUCCACGGCCCCCUU